UACAGAGGGUGCUAGCGUUGUUCGGAAUCAUUGGGCGUAAAGGGCGUGUAGGCGGUUUGUAAGUCAUGUGUGAAAUCCCUCGGCUCAACCCGGGGAACGACGCAUGAAACUGGCAGCUAGAGUACCAAAGAGGGGGUGGAAUUCCCGGUGUAGCGGUGAAAUGGCGGUAGUAUAAUCGGGAGGAACACCUGUGGCGAAGGCGGCCCCCUG
rnacentral:rRNA from 1 species